CAACGAGUUACGUGUUCUUGAAAGUGAACGAACCGAACUUAAGUUUUCCACGUAUUCGUAAAUGCAUUAAAAAAUCACGCUCACACGGAUUCGAUGGCAAUCGUUGAGUGAACAAAAAUCACGUGUAAAACGAAAUAUUCGAAGAAUGCAAGGAGAAUAUGUAUCAUGGCGACCCUCGAUUAAUGGCGGACUCAACUAUUUCACGAUCGUUAUUUAGAUUAUACAAUGAUAUCACAUUGGAAGAUCUUUGAAGAUAUUUUUAAUUCGCUACUCAUUUAAUUAAUCGAUAUAAUAUAGAAAUAUUUUUUUCAGCUUCACAAUUAUCAUCAUUUAGGUGUUAUAUCAUGUUUGUAUGUACUAACAAUAGUUUCAUUACACCACUUUUUCUAUAACGUUCAAUUGCAUACAAUGGUUAAUACAAGUUAUAUAAUCGUAGUACAAUAAAUACACUAUACUAUAUAUUUACAAUAAAAUCACGCACGAUUUACAAUGAUUUUAAGGAAAUUCUUUUAUGGCAAAUGUAGUUGAGAUGAAAGAACGGAUACUGACAUGUAAUCAAAUUUUAACUUCCUAUGAGACGAGCGUAAAACUAGCCAAUCAGAGAAGAGUUUCACUACACUCCAAAGGAAUUAAUAUUUGAUUGAAUUGUAUAUAAAAAAAAUUUUUAUUUUUAAAUAGUUCCAUUGAUAUCAGAUUUAAUUAGAUUUAAUAGGGGAUUUUCAAAAAAAUUAAAUUGUGUAUUCUGGAAUGAAAGGAAUUAUGAAUAAAAAUGUCAGUGCAUUUUUAAUUGAACAUUACAAAAUUUUUUAAAUAUCUUUCAAUUGUUUACAAAGUUAUAUAGAAGAAGAAAGAGGAAG